UAAUGUAUCGCUAACGUACCCUGGACACUGGGAUAGCCAUCCGAAAGGAUGGGUAAUACCAGAUGAAGUAACCUGACCGCAUGGUGAGGUUCCCAAAGGUCCGCCGGUCUGGGAGCGGGCGAUAUCGUAUCAGCUAGUUGGUGAGGUAACGGCUCACCAUGGCAACGACGCGUAGCCGGACUGAGAGGUUGGCCGGCCACAUUGGGACUGAGACACUGCCCAG
rnacentral:rRNA from 1 species